GCGACGAUCCGUAACUGGUCUGAGAGGAUGAUCAGUCACACUGGAACUGAGACACGGUCCAGACUCCUACGGGAGGCAGCAGUGGGGAAUAUUGGACAAUGGGCGAAAGCCUGAUCCAGCCAUGCCGCGUGUGUGAAGAAGGUCUUCGGAUUGUAAAGCACUUUAAGUUGGGAGGAAGGGCAUUAACCUAAUACGUUAGUGUUUUGACGUUACCGACAGAAUAAGCACCGGCUAACUCUGUGCCAGCAGCCGCGGUAAUACAGAGGGUGCAAGCGUUAAUCGGAAUUACUGGGCGUAAAGCGCGCGUAGGUGGUUUGUUAAGUUGGAUGUGAAAUCCCCGGGCUCAACCUGGGAACUGCAUCCAAAACUGGCAAGCUAGAGUAGGGCAGAGGGUGGUGGAAUUUCCUGUGUAGCGGUGAAAUGCGUAGAUAUAGGAAGGAACACCAGUGGCGAAGGCGACCACCUGGGCUCAUACUGACACUGAGUGUGCGAAAGCGUGGGGAGCAAACAGGAUUAGAUACCCUGGUAGUCCACGCCGUAAACGAUGUCAACUAGCCGUUGGAAUCCUUGAGAUUUUAGUGGCGCAGCUAACGCAUUAAGUUGACCGCCUGGGGAGUACGGCCGCAAGGUUAAAACUCAAAUGAAUUGACGGGGGCCCGCACAAGCGGUGGAGCAUGUGGUUUAAUUCGAAGCAACGCGAAGAACCUUACCAGGCCUUGACAUGCAGAGAACUUUCUAGAGAUAGAUUGGUGCCUUCGGGAACUCUGACACAGGGUGCGGCGAUGGGCUGUCGUCAGCUCGUGUCGUGAGAUGUUGGGUUAAGUCCCGUAACGAGCGCAACCCUUGUCCUUAGUUACCAGCACGUUAUGGUGGGCACUCUAAGGAGACUGCCGGUGACAAACCGGAGGAAGGUGGGGAUGACGUCAAGUCAUCAUGGCCCUUACGGCCUGGGCUACACACGUGCUACAAUGGUCGGUACAGAGGGUUGCCAAGCCGCGAGGUGGAGCUAAUCUCACAAAACCGAUCGUAGUCCGGAUCGCAGUCUGCAACUCGACUGCGUGA
rnacentral:rRNA from 1 species